UACGUAGGGUGCAAGCGUUAAUCGGAAUUACUGGGCGUAAAGCGCACGUAGGCGGCUUUGCAAGUCAGAGGUGAAAGCCCGGGGCUCAACCCCCGGAAUUGCCUUUGAGACUGCAUCGCUAGAAUUGUGGAGAGGUAAGUGGAAUUCCGAGUGUAGAGGUGAAAUUCGUAGAUAUUCGGAAGAACACCAGUGGCGAAGGCGACUUACUGGACACAUAUUGACGCUGAGGUGCGAAAGCGUGGGGAGCAAACAGG
rnacentral:rRNA from 1 species